GAUGAACGCUGGCGGCGUGCUUAACACAUGCAAGUCGAGCGAUGAAGUUUUCGUCGGGAAACGGAUUAGCGGCGGACGGGUGAGUAACACGUGGGUAACCUGCCUACUAGAGUGGAAUAGCGUAUCGAAGGGAAGAUUAAUAGCGCAUAAUGUUGAAGGAUGGCAUCAUCAUUCAACCAAAGGAGCAAGCUGCUAUGGGAUGGACCCGCGGCGCAUUAGCUAGUUGGUGGGGUAACGGCCUACCAAGGCGACGAUGCGUAGCCGACCUGAGAGGGUGAUCGGCCACAUUGGGACUGAGACACGGCCCAGACUCCUACGGGAGGCAGCAGUGGGGAAUAUUGCACAAUGGGGGAAACCCUGAUGCAGCAACGCCGCGUGAGUGAUGAAGGUUUUCGGAUCGUAAAGCUCUGUCUUUGGGGAAGAUAAUGACGGUACCCAAGGAGGAAGCCACGGCUAACUACGUGCCAGCCGCCGCCGUAA
rnacentral:rRNA from 1 species